GUCUACGGCCAUGCCACCCUGAACGUGCCCGAUCUCGUCUGAUCUCGGAAGCUAAGCAGGGUCGGGCCUUGGUCAGUACUGGGAUGGAAGACCACUUAGGAAGACCAGGUGCUGUAGAUG
rnacentral:rRNA from 1 species